AGUGAACGCUGGCGGUAGGCCUAACACAUGCAAGUCGAACGGCAGCACAGUAAGAGCUUGCUCUUACGGGUGGCGAGUGGCGGACGGGUGAGGAAUACAUCGGAAUCUACUUUUUCGUGGGGGAUAACGUAGGGAAACUUACGCUAAUACCGCAUACGGCCUACGGGUGAAAGCAGGGGAUCUUCGGACCUUGCGCGAUUGAAUGAGCCGAUGUCGGAUUAGCUAGUUGGCGGGGUAAAGGCCCACCAAGGCGACGAUCCGUAGCUGGUCUGAGAGGAUGAUCAGCCACACUGGAACUGAGACACGGUCCAGACUCCUACGGGAGGCAGCAGUGGGGAAUAUUGGACAAUGGGCGCAAGCCUGAUCCAGCCAUACCGCGUGGGUGAAGAAGGCCUUCGGGUUGUAAAGCCCUUUUGUUGGGAAAGAAAAGCAGCAGGUUAAUACCCCGCUGUUCUGACGGUGCCCAAAGAAUAAGCACCGGCUAACUUCGUG
rnacentral:rRNA from 1 species